rnacentral:rRNA from 1 species
GACGAACGCUGGCGGCGUGCUUAACACAUGCAAGUCGAACGGAAAGGCCCUGCUUUUGUGGGGUGCUCGAGUGGCGAACGGGUGAGUAACACGUGAGUAACCUGCCCUUGACUUUGGGAUGACUUCAGGAAACUGGGGCUAAUACCGGAUAGGAGCUCCUGCUGCAUGGCGGGGGUUGGAAAGUUUCGGCGGUUGGGGAUGGACUCGCGGCUUAUCAGCUUGUUGGUGGGGUAGUGGCUUACCAAGGCUUUGACGGGUAGCCGGCCUGAGAGGGUGACCGGCCACAUUGGGACUGAGAUACGGCCCAGACUCCUACGGGAGGCAGCAGUGGGGAAUAUUGCACAAUGGGCGGAAGCCUGAUGCAGCAACGCCGCGUGCGGGAUGACGGCCUUCGGGUUGUAAACCGCUUUCGCCUGUGACGAAGCGUGAGUGACGGUAAUGGGUAAAGAAGCACCGGCUAACUACGUG